UCUUCCCUUGGUAUGAAAAUCGAGGGGAGGGGGAAGAAGGACAGAGAAGAGAGUCAUCGAAUUUUACGACGUCGUAUCGGUGCAAUAUUCCUUUCGGUGGAUGGGGGAGCCGCAUCCUUCCCAGUCUCUCGCUUUAAAGCGCGCCGUUAAAUGCGAAAAUAGGGUAACUACCCUAAAUAAUUUCCGACCUCGAAGGGGGAUGGAAAUGGGGAUCUCGAAAUUGGAGGAAAAAACAAGGAGCAAGACAUCUCUCGAAGCGGAAAAUCGUAUGCGCACGCCUUGUAAAAGUAUCCAAGGGGAGGAGAUUAGUUAACAAGAUUACUUACGACUGUCAGCGCUCUGUAAGCAAGUUUCUGAAUAGGGGUAUGGCGGCGGGUUGUGGCGCGGAUGAUCUACUAUGCAGUCAGCCAGCCAUGUCAACGAUAUACAUUCAGCCCCGGCCCGUGGUGCAAGUAGGGCUGCAAUGUCUGCGAAACGGUAAUGGAACGGCAAACGACCUGGGAUUUACCCCUUGGAACAUUCUAACAAAGCUCUAGGCCACCGCAGCCACCUACCACGAAGAGAGGGAGAAAAAAAAUUGAACGGGUGGGAUGCUUGCAUGCUAUCUUCGACUCGAGUGGAUCCAGUUCGAAUCCUGUCGAGAUGAAUUUUAAAUCUUUGCUAAUCUCCGUUUCGACGACGAUCAAUCGAAAAU
rnacentral:lncRNA from 1 species